rnacentral:rRNA from 1 species
UACGUAGGUGGCAAGCGUUAUCCGGAAUUAUUGGGCGUAAAGCGCGCGCAGGUGGUUUCUUAAGUCUGAUGUGAAAGCCCACGGCUCAACCGUGGAGGGUCAUUGGAGACUGGGAGACUUGAGUGCAGAAGAGGAAAGUGGAAUUCCAUGUGUAGCGGUGAAAUGCGUAGAGAUAUGGAGGAACACCAGUGGCGAAGGCGACUUUCUGGUCUGUAACUGACACUGAGGCGCGAAAGCGUGGGGAGCAAACAGG